UCCACCUGAGCAGACCACUGAGACCCAUUCUACCGGUGCUGCGUUCGAGUUCACGUGGAGUUCAUGUUAUUAGUAUUACAGGCCUUUCAUGCUCUCGAAUCUCACAGGGAUCAAAAGGGCUUUGUGAGACAAGACCGGAGAGAGACUGGAUUUAAAGCUGCAGAGAAAAGAAUGAAAACCAGGAGAUUUGAAAGAGAGAGGCUCAAAGGAUGAUUUUGCAGUGCCUCACCUGCUGAAGACCUCAUGGAGGGUCGCGUAGGUGACAGCAGGAGCCAUGGAUCCAACCCAGACGGAGUACAGAGCCCUGAGGACGCAGCAGAAGAUGAUUCAAAGCCAUGCUGACGUUCAAGCAAAACUCCACCAAAGUGAUCUGAACUCUACUCACGGUUUCACAGGACUCCUCGAUUUAGGUGUUGGUGAUUGAGAGUUUGAUCUAGCUUGAUCCAAAGCCUCGAACUCUUUGAACUGCGGCAUUCUGGGACGGCUUGUUUGUUGGACAAUCCACUCGCCCUCCUCUUCUUCUUCCUCCUGCAGCAACGGUUGUUUUGGAAUUUCCCUGUGAGCAGUA